rnacentral:RNase_P_RNA from 1 species
GGGAGAGAGAGCCUGGCUGCCGCGAUGGUCGCGCCGGCGACGGCGGGACCACCACGACGUUGGCCACCCUUCCGGGUUGCCCAACGCACCUCACGUGACCCAUCCCUUCGGGAUGCGUCACGCUCCUAACGUGGCCCAUCUCUCCGAGAUGCGCCACGCUCGCGAGGAAAGUCCCCCCACCUGUUCGGGCAGGUGACCGGACGCAAGUCCGGAGCGGGAGACCGCUGGCUCUGGAACAGAAACGACACGUCUCGGCCCGACCGAUGAUGCGCGCGAACCCGACCGAGAGGAAGGGGAGUUGACCCGCUGAGGAUUGCGGUUGUGAAACCGUGGUUCGAAUCCACGGACCGUGUGCGCGGUUCGACGUGCCUUCGGCACGAGAAUCGCGAGUCACGGUCGACCGCACACGGACGGCCGAGGAUCGAUGGAACGGCGAACCCUCACCGGUGCAAGUCCGCGCCGUGGUAGCCCGAACGCCCCGCGGCUUCGCCGCGGACGGCGCGGACGCUCAGCCGAAUGCCGGGACGAACAGAAGGGGGCUUACUCCUCUCACCC